rnacentral:rRNA from 1 species
UAGGGAAUCUUCGGCAAUGGGCGAAAGCCUGACCGAGCAACGCCGCGUGAAGGAAGAAGUAUCUCGGUAUGUAAACUUCUAUCAGCAGGGAAGAAAAUGACGGUACCUGACUAAGAAGCCCCGCUAACUACGUGCCAGCAGCCGCGGUAAUACGUAGGGGCAAGCGGUUAUCCGGAUUUACUGGGUGUAAAGGGAGCGUAGACGGAGCAGCAAGUCUGAUGUGAAAGGCAGGGGCUCAACCCCUGGACUGCAUUGGAAACUGUUGAUCUUGAGUACCGGAGGGGUAAGCGGAAUUCCUAGUGUAGCGGUGAAAUGCGUAGAUAUUAGGAGGAACACCAGUGGCGAAGGCGGCUUACUGGACGGUAACUGACGUUGAGGCUCGAAAGCGUGGGAGCAAACAGGAUUAGAUACC